GUGAUGAUGUGAUUUAUAUGUCCAGAAUGAAAUGAUGAGAUUCUCAGCCGUCGCACUGAAA
rnacentral:snoRNA from 1 species